GAGUCAUUGGGACACGAAAACCUAAAGGCGCAAUGAAAGUGAAGGUCCGGCCUCGCGCCGACCGAGGGAGGAUGGGCCGCGUCACGAUGCGGCCCCGCACUCCCGGGGCGUCUCGUUCUCAUUGCGAGAGGAGGCGCACCCAGAGCGUACACGUUGGGACCCGAAAGAUGGUGAACUAUGCCUGGUCAGGACGAAGUCAGGGGAAACCCUGAUGGAGGUCCGUAGCGAUUCUGACGUGCAAAUCGAUCGUCGGAACUGGGUAUAGGGGCGAAAGACUAAUCGAACCAUCUAGUAGCUGGUUCCCUCCGAAGUUUCCCUCAGGAUAGCUGGCACUCGCGUGCGAAACGUACACGAGUCUCAUCCGGUAAAGCGAAUGAUUAGAGGCCUUGGGGCCGAAACGACCUCAACCUAUUCUCAAACUUUAAAUGGGUGAGAUCUCUGGCUUGCUUGAACGUUGAAGCCACGAGAUUUCGGAUCAGAGUGCCAAGUGGGCCACUUUUGGUAAGCAGAACUGGCGC
rnacentral:rRNA from 1 species